CCCUUCUCAUGAGCUCCUCUUAAUCUUGCCCAUGAUUUUGUAUGGAUUCGCACGAGAAGCAGAGUCAAUGUACAGUCAGAACUGGCUUGUGCUCCCCUAAUAUGGGUGUUGCUUAUGUCUGUUGUGCAACAAGU